CCUACUUUAGUCAUCAUUUAUGAAUAUUUGUCAAUUGGCUUACUCCUGAACCAGCCAAGUCGCGUGAGGGAAGACUGCCCUAUGGGUUGUAAACCUCUUUUGUCAGGGAGCAACGCCGGCUACGUGUAGCCGGACUGAGAGUACCUGAAGAAAAAGCAUCGGCUAACUCCGUGCCAGCAGCCGCGGUAAUACGGAGGAUGCGAGCGUUAUCCGGAUUUAUUGGGUUUAAAGGGUGCGUAGGCGGAAUGCCAAGUCAGCGGUAAAAUCGCGGGGCUCAACCUCGCUCCGCCGUUGAAACUGGCGUUCUGGAGUGGGCGAGAAGUAUGCGGAAUGCGUGGUGUAGCGGUGAAAUGCAUAGAUAUCACGCAGAACUCCGAUUGCGAAGGCAGCAUACCGGCGCCCAACUGACGCUGAAGCACGAAAGCGUGGGUAUCGAACAGGAUUAGAUACCCUGGUAGUC
rnacentral:rRNA from 1 species